CCUACGGGUGGCAGCAGUGAGGAAUAUUGGUCAAUGGGCGCGAGCCUGAACCAGCCAAGUAGCGUGAAGGAUGACUGCCCUAUGGGUUGUAAACUUCUUUUAUAAGGGAAUAAAGUGAGGCACGUGUGCCGUUUUGUAUGUACUUUAUGAAUAAGGAUCGGCUAACUCCGUGCCAGCAGCCGCGGUAAUACGGAGGAUCCGAGCGUUAUCCGGAUUUAUUGGGUUUAAAGGGAGCGUAGACGGGUGGUUAAGUCAGUUGUGAAAGUUUGCGGCUCAACCGUAAAAUUGCAGUUGAUACUGGCAGCCUUGAGUGCAGUAGAGGUAGGCGGAAUUCGUGGUGUAGCGGUGAAAUGCUUAGAUAUCACGAAGAACUCCGAUUGCGAAGGCAGCUUACUAGACUGCCACUGACGUUGAUGCUCGAAAGUGUGGGUAUCAAACAGGAUUAGAUACCCUAGUAGUC
rnacentral:rRNA from 1 species